AGCUCCAAUAGCGUAUAUUAAAGUUGUUGUGGUUAAAAAGCUCGUAGUUGGAUUUCGGCGGGUAUUGGUCGGUUUGAAUUGCUUCAACACUGACUUUUUUACCCGUGUGUUUUGUCAGAAUUUAACGGGUGAUCUUCGCCGAUUGUCCGUUAGAACUGACAGGUUUACUUUGAAAAAAUUAGAGUGCUCAAAGCAAGCUUGAUUGCUUGAAUAUUCGUGCAUGGAAUAAUAGAAUAGGAAGUCGUUUCUAUUUUGUUGGUUUUCGGAAAUCGACUUAAUGAUUAAUAGGGAUAGUCGGGGGCAUUUGUAUUCAAACGACAGAGGUGAAAUUCUUGGACCGUUUGAAGACAAACUACUGCGAAAGCAUUUGCCAAGAAUGUUUUCA
rnacentral:rRNA from 1 species